rnacentral:sRNA from 1 species
UCGGGUGUUGUAUGGCAUGCAUCCGGGC